CUAGCACCAGCAGACAUUUUUGAAUCAGCUGAGAGAAAUUACUGGGAUCAACGAUGCCCAGAUACUACAGCAAGCUUUGAAGGAUAGCAAUGGAAACUUGGAGUUGGCAGUGGCUUUCCUCACUGCGAAGAAUGCCAAGACCCCUCAGCAGGAGGAGACAACUUACUACCGUGCUUCCUGGCAGUGAUAGAUACAUCAGUGUGGGAAGCCAAGCAGAUGCGAAUUGUAUUUCAUUGGUAUAUCCUUUCAUAGAGCACCUCAUGGAGUAUUCAUUGUUUUGAAAUAUGGAACAGCUACAGUGUUACUCAUUAAAGAAACAAAAAUUUCUAGAAUUUUAAAUGGGCAAAAUCAUUUGUUUUAUGGAUUUUAAGUGUUGGUAGAGGCUUAGUAUUAUUUUUGAAGAUAAAGUAGUAUUUUUAAUUACUGAUAGCUUUACCAUUUAGUAGAAUUUCCCUUCUUUCAAUCCCUGCCCCUCCCCAAAAUAAAGAUUUUGGAGAAAGGUUUAUUACCAUGUAACAAAAUAAGCACACAUGCAUGCGCACACACAGGUCCAUAUGGAAAAUUUUAUGGACUAAUUUUUAUUCAUAACAUGAGUACUUUGUGCUUAUAUAGCACUGAGUUUUUCAAAAUACAUUCAGUUACCUCCAUAUCUCAUUGUGGUGUAACUGUAUUAUAUAAAAUGUAGGUAUUUAUUUUUAUGCAUUCUCAAUUAGAGAAGUUUGAUUACUAACUUGUAUUGGAAGAGAAUUUCUGAUUUUGUUUAUAGACUUUCUCAAAGUU